rnacentral:rRNA from 1 species
UACAGAGGUCCCAAGCGUUGUUCGGAUUCACUGGGCGUAAAGGGUGCGUAGGUGGCGCCGUAAGUGGGGUGUGAAAUUUCGGAGCUUAACUCCGAAACUGCAUUCCAUACUGCGGUGCUUGAGGACUGGAGAGGAGACUGGAAUUCAUGGUGUAGCAGUGAAAUGCGUAGAGAUCAUGAGGAAGACCAGUGGCGAAGGCGGGUCUCUGGACAGUUCCUGACACUGAGGCACGAAGGCCAGGGGAGCAAACGGG